rnacentral:rRNA from 1 species
AUGCCCGGGAGCCUGGCGGUCACCACCGAGGCGGUGGCAAGGAUGAUGCGGCAGUGGAACUACCGGGAGGGCUCCGGCCUGGGCGCCUAGCGGCAAGGGAUCAUCGCCCACUUAGAGCCCGUGGCACUGCCGCGCCGGAACGUCGGGAUCGGCCAUGACGACACACCGCACGACAACGGGCUGCAGAACACGCCGCCGGUGGUCGAAGACGAGUGGUCCCGCCGGUGGCGGAACCUUUCACGAGUGCUGUCCCUUGAACGUGAGUGCUUCGACAAGACCCUCGCCCUGCUGCAUUCGCUCGAACUCCAAGGGGAUGGUAGCGCGGAAACGGCGGGCGCGCUGGCGGCGGUCGUCGAGUCGGCGAAGGUGUUCGAAGGGGAGCGCACGCCGGGGACGUGGAAAGCGUCGCUGCCUCCUGCCACCAUACGCUACAUCGUCGAGGAGGUGAUCACGCCGAGGAUGGCCGCUGACGCGCGGGAGUGGGAGCCGCUGUGGAACCCGAACUGCCAGCACUGGCUACGCCCGUGGAUCCCCCUCGUCGGGCACUUGCCGGACAGCCUCUACGACACGGUGCAGAGCAAGAUCAUCAACCACGCCGAUCACCACCACAUCGUCUCGUCUUUGAAAAAGUACCUUCACCCGAUGCAAUGGGACGCCUUUGCCCGGCGUCACAUCCUGCCGAGGCUCGCACGGCAGCUGCGGGAGCUGAGGAUCACGCCGCCGAAGCAGAUGGACUGCUCGUUCAGCACGGUGAUGGGGUGGGAGCCCCUAGUGCGUGCGCAGGACAUGGUGACCAUCCUUGAAGCUGAGUUCUUCCACCGAUGGGAAGAGGCGCUGCUCCACUGGCUGCGGUCCGCCAGGCCGUCGUUGGGGGAGGCCGUCGCGUGGUGCGCCGGCUGGAGGAAUGAAUUCACGCCGGAGCUGCUCGCGGACGAGCGCGUGCGCGCGCGCCUCGAAGCCGGCGCUGCCAUGGUCGAUCGUGAAACGCAGGGACUCAACAGAAUUGUAGGCUAUAGGGUGUAG